UACGGAGGAUCCGAGUGUUAUCCGGAUUUACUGGGCGUAAAGGGCAGGCAGGCGGAUCCAUAAGUUUAUCGUUUAAGGCGUCGGCUUAACCGGCGUAGGGCGGUAGAUACUGUGGAUCUGGAAUGCGGUUGGGGAAGACAGAAUUCCUGGUGUAGCGGUGGAAUGCGCAGAGAUCAGGAGGAAUACCGAAGGCGAAGGCAGUCUUCCAAGCCGUUAUUGACGCUCAACUGCGAAGGUGUGGGUAUCAAACAGGAUUAGAUACCCUGGUAGUCCCU
rnacentral:rRNA from 1 species